AAUUCUCAAAUCUCAUCAGUUUUAUAACUGACUUGAGACUUUGGAUGUGGGAGUUGCAGGCUUCUCAGAAGUCUGCUCUCCUUAAAUAUAUGAGUGGUUACUGUUUGACCAUAUCCUGGUGUGAUAAUAUCUACUCCAAGGGUUGGUUAAUACUUAAAAGGUAGCUGCUUCGAACAGUCUAUUAACUUGGACAACUUUGAACC
rnacentral:misc_RNA from 1 species